AAGUCGUAACAAGGUGUGCGGAAAGGAUCAUUAACACGUGUGAAUUUUCAGCUUGCUCCUGUAGCCCGUGAAAGCAGCAUCGGGACCUCUGCAGAUUGUGAUAUUUUAUAGCUACGGUUGAGCGAUUGUGUAAGGAUGGCGCAGUCACGAUCGCUGUAGGCCCACACGGCCGGCGACCGGGUCAACCGGGCUCUGCAACUUCGCCGCGCGUGAAAUUCGCACGGCACCAAAGACCGAACUUCUUG
rnacentral:misc_RNA from 1 species